AGUUAAUGUUAACUGAGGAUGAAAUAAAUUAAACUGAACCAUUGGCAAUCAUGUCAUUAUAAUCAUAAUCAACUUCUUUCUCAGGAGUGUGUGAAGGAGCUGAAUCUGAGGAACAUGGUGUCCAUCUCCAUGGAUGGACCCAAUGUAAAUUGGAAAUUCUUUGAGCUUCUACAGCAAGAGCACGCUGAGCAGUAUGGUGGUGUCCAGCUGGUGAAUGUGGGUAGCUGUGGCCUCCACACCCUACAUAACGCAUUCAAAUGUGGAUUCUCUAUGUGGCAACUGGAGAAGGUGUUGAGGGGGAUGCACUACCUUUUUCAUAACACACCAGCAAGGAGGGAUGACUUCAUUGCCCUCACCAAAUCCUCAGUCUUCCCGCUACCAUUCUGUGGGCAUCGGUGGAUUGAAAACCUGCCAGUUGUAGAAAGGGCCAUAGAGGUAUGGCCUUCACUGGUGACAUACGUGGAUGCAGUGCGGACAAAGAAGGUUCCAAACCCUGGAACAGCCUCAUUUGACACCAUAGAAGCAGCCAAGCAAGAUCCACUCAUCUUGCCUAAGCUACUAAUUCUUCAUGGCCAUCUCAAGGACGUUCACUCCCUUUCUGACGAAGUAUCAGACUGACGCACCAGUCAUGCCAUUCCUUUGCAAGGACUUGGUGGAGUUGUUCCAGGUAAUCAAAUUAAUAAUGAAGAAUCAAGAAGAAAAGAAAAACAAG
rnacentral:lncRNA from 1 species